GAGCAAGUUUCCAGCAUGGUUGGGUUUGCCGUAGCCCUGCCCAUUCCUGUAGAACUUGCCAGAUCAGCACUGAGACGGUUUGAGGCCUCCUGUUGUCCCUCCAGCAGAAGGUUAUAGAACUCUCGGACACUU
rnacentral:snoRNA from 12 species